rnacentral:rRNA from 1 species
UACGAAGGGGGCUAGCGUUGCUCGGAAUCACUGGGCGUAAAGCGCACGUAGGCGGAUUGCUAAGUCAGGGGUGAAAUCCUGGGAAGCUCAACUCCAGAACUGCCUUUGAUACUGGCGAUCUCGAGUCCGGGAGAGGUGAGUGGAACUGCGAGUGUAGAGGUGAAAUUCGUAGAUAUUCGCAAGAACACCAGUGGCGAAGGCGGACUCACUGGCCCGGUAC